rnacentral:rRNA from 1 species
GACGAACGCUGGCGGCGUGCUUAAUACAUGCAAGUCGAACGGAGCCUAGCCGGUAGUUUACUACAGGCGAAAGCUUAGUGGCGGACGGGUGAGUAACGCGUGGGCAAUCUGCCCCUAAGUCCGGGAUAACAGAGCGAAAGUUCUGCUAAGACCGGAUACUCUUCCUUGGUCGCAUGGCGGAGGAAGGAAAGGAUACGCUUAGGGAUGAGCCCGCGUCCCAUUAGCUAGUUGGUGAGGUAACGGCCCACCAAGGCGACGAUGGGUAGCCGGCCUGAGAGGGUGGACGGCCACACUGGGACUGAGACACGGCCCAGACUCCUACGGGAGGCAGCAGUAGGGAAUUUUCCGCAAUGGGGAAACCCUGACGGAGCAACGCCGCGUGAGGGAAGAAGGUCUUCGGAUCGGUAAACCUUUGUCAUCGAGGACGAUAAUGACGGUACUCGAGGAGGAAGCCCCGGCUAACUACGUG